rnacentral:rRNA from 1 species
CAGUAGCCGCGGUAAUACGUAGGUCCCGAGCGUUGUCCGGAUUUAUUGGGCGUAAAGCGAGCGCAGGCGGUUAGAUAAGUCUGAAGUUAAAGGCUGUGGCUUAACCAUAGUACGCUUUGGAAACUGUUUAACUUGAGUGCAGAAGGGGAGAGUGGAAUUCCAUGUGUAGCGGUGAAAUGCGUAGAUAUAUGGAGGAACACCGGUGGCGAAAGCGGCUCUCUGGUCUGUAACUGACGCUGAGGCUCGAAAGCGUGGGGAGCAAACAGGAUUAGAUACCCGAGUAGUCCCUGUCUCUUAUACA